GUAGGUUGCGAGCGUUGUCCGGAUUUACUGGGCGUAAAGCGCACGCAGGCGGUUCCGAAAGUCGAAUGUGAAAGCUCCUGGCCCAACUGGGAGAGGCCGUUCGAAACUUCGGGACUUGAAGGCGGGAGAGGCAGAUGGAAUUUCCGGUGUAGCGGUAAAAUGCGUAGAUACCGGAAGGAACACCAGUGGCGAAAGCGAUCUGCUGGCCCGCCCUUGACGCUCAGGUGCGAAAGCUAGGGGAGCGACCGGGAUUAGAUACCCCGUUAGUCCUAGCCGUAAACAAUGGGCACUAGGUGUUGUCGGUAUCGACCCCGGCAGUGCCGAAGCUAACGCAUUAAGUGCCCCGCCUGGGGAGUACGACCGCAAGGUUA
rnacentral:rRNA from 1 species